rnacentral:rRNA from 2 species
GAAGUCUGAUGGAGCAACGCCGCGUGAGUGAUGAAGGUUUUCGGAUCGUAAAACUCUGUUGUAAGGGAAGAACCAGUACGUCAGGCAAUGGACGUACCUUGACGGUACCUUAUUAGAAAGCCACGGCUAACUACGUGCCAGCAGCCGCGGUAAUACGUAGGGGGCGAGCGUUGUCCGGAUUUACUGGGCGUAAAGGGUGCGUAGGCGGCCUUGUAAGUCAGAUGUGAAAGGCUACGGCUCAACCGUAGUAAGCAUUUGAAACUGCAGGGCUUGAGUGCAGGAGAGGAGAGUGGAAUUCCUAGUGUAGCGGUGAAAUGCGUAGAUAUUAGGAGGAACACCAGUGGCGAAGGCGACUCUCUGGACUGUAACUGACGCUGAGGCACGAAAGCGUGGGGAGCAAACA